rnacentral:rRNA from 1 species
GACGAACGCUGGCGGCGUGCUUAACACAUGCAAGUCGAACGGAAAGGCCCUGCUUUUGUGGGGUGCUCGAGUGGCGAACGGGUGAGUAACACGUGAGUAACCUGCCCCUGACUUUGGGAUAACUUCAGGAAACUGGGGCUAAUACCGGAUAGGAGCUCCUGCCGCAUGGUGGGGGUUGGAAAGUUUCGGUGGUUGGGGAUGGACUCGCGGCUUAUCAGCUUGUUGGUGGGGUAGUGGCUUACCAAGGCUUUGACGGGUAGCCGGCCUGAGAGGGUGACCGGCCACAUUGGGACUGGGAUACGGCCCAGACUCCUACGGGAGGCAGCGGUGGGGAAUAUUACACAAUGGGCGGGGGCAUAGUGCGGCAACGCCGCGUGCGGGAUGACGGCCUUCGGGUUGUAAACCGCUUUCGCCUGUGACGAAGCGUGAGUGACGGUAAUGGGUAAAGAAGCACCGGCUAACUACGUG